rnacentral:rRNA from 1 species
UACGUAGGGUGCAAGCGUUAAUCGGAAUUACUGGGCGUAAAGCGUGCGCAGGCGGCUUUUGCAAGACAGAUGUGAAAUCCCCCGGGCUUAACCUGGGAACUGCAUUUGUGACUGCAUGGCUGGAGUGCGGCAGAGGGGGAUGGAAUUCCGCGUGUAGCAGUGAAAUGCGUAGAUAUGCGGAGGAACACCGAUGGCGAAGGCAAUCCCCUGGCCUGCACUGACGCUCAUGCACGAAGCGUG